UACGUAGGGGGCUAGCGUUGUCCGGAUUCAUUGGGCGUAAAGGGUGCGUAGGCGGCGCGGUAAGUCGGGUGUGAAAUCUCGGAGCUUAACUCCGAAACUGCAUUCGAUACUGCCGUGCUUGAGGACUGGAGAGGAGACUGGAAUUUACGGUGUAGCGGUGAAAUGCGUAGAUAUCGUAAGGAAGACCAGUGGCGAAGGCGGGUCUCUGGACAGUUCCUGACGCUGAGGCACGAAGGCUAGGGGAGCAAACGGG
rnacentral:rRNA from 1 species